GUCGACCUGGGCAGAAGGGAGAAGGGAAAAACCUUCUCAAAGCUCUAAAUCAAAAAAUUGAAAGGCUAAUUCGGUCUAAAAUUCGUGCAUGAAUCAAGAAUAUUAAUCGUCCAUACUUGUCUACACAAGGCAACACAAGUGAAGCAUCGGGGAGUUAAGCCGGAACAAAUGCACGGUUGAAGGAAAACCUAUAAGGUGGUAUUCACGAAGUCGCGGAUGAUGUUCAAGCAUAACGAAGAACCAAACACGCUCAAAGAUCAGCUUUCUCGCAUUUUGUUU